rnacentral:rRNA from 1 species
GCGUGGGUAACCUGCCUUAUACAGGGGGAUAACAGUUAGAAAUGACUGCUAAUACCGCAUAAGCGCACAGGAUUGCAUGAUCUGGUGUGAAAAACUCCGGUGGUAUAAGAUGGACCCGCGUCUGAUUAGCUGGUUGGUGAGGUAACGGCCCACCAAGGCGACGAUCAGUAGCCGACCUGAGAGGGUGACCGGCCACAUUGGGACUGAGACACGGCCCAAACUCCUACGGGAGGCAGCAGUGGGGAAUAUUGCACAAUGGGGGAAACCCUGAUGCAGCGACGCCGCGUGAGCGAAGAAGUAUUUCGGUAUGUAAAGCUCUAUCAGCAGGGAAGAAAAAAUGACGGUACCUGACUAAGAAGCCCCGGCUAACUACGUGCCAGCAGCCGCGGUAAUACGUAGGGGGCAAGCGUUAUCCGGAUUUACUGGGUGUAAAGGGAGCGCAGGCGGUGCGGCAAGUCUGAUGUGAAAGCCCGGGGCUCAACCCCGGGACUGCAUUGGAAACUGUCGUACUUGAGUAUCGGAGAGGUAAGUGGAAUUCCUAGUGUAGCGGUGAAAUGCGUAGAUAUUAGGAGGAACACCAGUGGCGAAGGCGGCUUACUGGACGAUAACUGACGCUGAGGCUCGAAAGCGUGGGGAGCAA